rnacentral:rRNA from 1 species
GACGAACGCUGGCGGCGUGCUUAACACAUGCAAGUCGAGCGGAAAGGCCACUUCGGUGGUACUCGAGCGGCGAACGGGUGAGUAACACGUGAGUAAUCUGCCCCUGGCUUUGGGAUAGCCCCCGGAAACGGUGAUUAAUACCGGAUAUGACAGCUUCUCGCAUGAGAUGGUUGUGGAAAGUUUUUCGCCCAGGGAUGUGCUCGCGGCCUAUCAGCUUGAUGGUGAGGUAAUGGCUCACCAUGGCUUCGACGGGUAGCCGGCCUGAGAGGGUGCCCGGCCACACUGGGACCUGAGACACGGCCCAGACUCCUACGGGAGGCAGCAGUGGGGAAUAUUGGACAAUGGGCGGAAGCCUGAUCCAGCAACGCCGCGUGAGGGAUGACGGCCUUCGGGUUGAAACCUCUUUCGGUGGGGACGAAGCGCA